rnacentral:rRNA from 1 species
GACGAACGCUGGCGGCGUGCCUAAUACAUGCAAGUCGAACGCAGUGGGGACGGGUGAGUAACACGUGGGUAACCUCCCAUCAGAGUGGAUAACACUUGGAAACAGGUGCUAAACCGAUAGUGAUGGAUGAACCCGCGGUGCAUUAGCUAGUUGGUGGGGUAACGGCUCACCAAGGCGACGAUGCAUAGCAGACCUGAGAGGGUGAUCAGCCACACUGGGACUGAGACACGGCCCAGACUCCUCAGGGAGGCAGCAGUGGGGAAUCUGGGGCAAUGGGCGAAAGUCUGACCGAGCAACGCCGGGUGUAUGAAGAAGGCCUUAGGGUUGUAAAGUACUUUCAGCGGGGAGGCGUUACCCGCAGAAGAAGCACCGGCUAACUCCGUGCCAGCAGCCGCGGUAAUUC